AGAAGAAGACUCUGUUGUGAAGAACGUUUGAUCGCGGCUGAAGUCCCGAGUAGUUUCACGGCCGCUUUCAUUGGGCUAGGCCGGGGAUGCAGAGCCAGAGUAUAGUAACGCAAGCAGCAACCUCCCGGUGGCCUUGUAGCGCAGGUUGGGGCGCCAUGGGAUCUACCUGGAACGAGAACCUUCGCAACGGAGGCGCCUUGGCGGCUGGAGCGGACCGCUGGGGUGAGGCAACCCCACAGAAGGGGGAGCUCACUUCCAUCAGCUUGGGCGUCGGCCACUGGAAGCGCGGCAGAUCAGCGAGAAGCACCAACGGCCGAACCUACGUCAAGCGCAACCAAGAAGGGCACAUGAGCCGGGAUUGUCCCACUGCUGACUAUGGAGGACGACUAGGAUGCCUCAAGUGUGGCGAAGAAGGCCACAUGAGUAGAGAUUGGUCUGCAGACACUUCGGUGGGACACCCAGAUGCGGGCCGCUGUACGCUUCGUGUGUGGCCAAAUUAGGCUUCUUGUGUGCAUUUUGUGCUAUAAUACCUCAUUUAUUUUAGGAAAUUUCGAAAUUGCUACUUUUUUGACGAUGAUGUCGAUAAAUAUAUUCUUAUGCCUUUCA